UUUGGUGGCGAUAGCGAAGAGGUCACACCCGUUCCCAUGCCGAACACGGAAGUUAAGCUCUUCAGCGCCGAUGGUAGUCGGGGGUUUCCCCCUGUGGG
rnacentral:rRNA from 1 species